rnacentral:rRNA from 1 species
GAGUUAAUCUCCAAAAGCCAUCUCAGUUCGGAUUGCACUUUGCAACUCGGGUGCAUGAAAUUGGAAUCGCUAGUAAUCGCGGAUCAGCAUGCCGCGGUGAAUACGUUCCCGGGCCUUGUACACACCGCCCGUCACACCAUGGGAGUUGGCUUUACCCGAAGGCGCUGCGCUAACCGCAAGGAGGCAGGCGACCACGGUAGGGUC